GCAAACUUGGUCAUUUAGAGGAAGUAAAAGUCGUAACAAGGUUUCCGUAGGUGAACCUGCGGAAGGAUCAUCAAUGAAUUUCCAAAUUUCAUUUGGCUUUGGUGGUGUUGGACUCCUUCUGGCAUUUUGCUGGCAAGGGUUAAUGCCCAGCCCCCAUUGCCUUACCAACCAUCAGUCUCUGUCUAGCCAAGGUGUCUCGAGAUGCUUUUGUGGCAUCAUCCCCGAGCCCUUUGCGAUGGACUUUGACUUUUUGAGUAGUGUAGUUUGGGCGGGUUCGCUUUACGGCGCAACCCCUCAUACUCGUUACUGUGGGCAACAAACUAAAUUAAAAUACAACUUUUAACGAUGGAUCUCUUGGCUCCCGCAUCGAUGAAGAACGCAGC
rnacentral:misc_RNA from 1 species